rnacentral:rRNA from 1 species
GACGAACGCUGGCGGCGUGCUUAACACAUGCAAGUCGAACGCUGAAGCUCAGCUUUUGUUGGGUGGAUGAGUGGCGAACGGGUGAGUAACACGUGAGUAACCUGCCCCCUUCUUUGGGAUAACGCCCGGAAACGGGUGCUAAUACUGGAUAUUCACUGGUCUUCGCAUGGGGGUUGGUGGAAAGGGUUUUUCUGGUGGGGGAUGGGCUCGCUGCCUAUCAGCUUGUUGGUGGGGUGAUGGCCUACCAAGGCUUUGACGGGUAGCCGGCCUGAGAGGGUGACCGGUCACAUUGGGACUGAGAUACGGCCCAGACUCCUACGGGAGGCAGCAGUGGGGAAUAUUGCACAAUGGGCGCAAGACUGAUGCAGCGACGCCGCGUGAGGGAUGGAGGCCUUCGGGUUGUGAACCUCUUUCGCUAAUGGUCAAGCCGCAACAAUGGUUGUGGUGAGGGUAGUGGGUAAAGAAGCGCCGGCUAACUACGUG